rnacentral:rRNA from 1 species
UUUUUUUUCCUGGUGGGGGGAGAGAGGGGGGGUGGGGGGGGGGAGGGAGGGGGGCGGGGGGGGGGGCGGUGGGGGGGGUAAGGGGGGGGUGGCAUUAUUAUUUUUCCCUUUUUUUUUUGGGGGGGGAAAAGCCCCCCCGAGGAAAAAUUUUUUGGUUUUUAUUCCCCUUUAUUUUUUUUUUUUUUUUGGGGGCCUUUUUUUUUUUAAUUAAAAAAAUUCCCGGGGGGUUAAGAAAGGAAGCCCCGGUUUUUUUUUUAGUUUUUGUGGUUAAAGGAAAAAAUUUUCCCAAGGGUUCAAAGAGGGGGGGGGGGCCGGAGGGGGGGGCCCCCCCCCCCUGGGUUUUGAGAACCCGGGCCAAGAUUCUUGCGGGGGGCCGCCGGGGGGGAAUAUUGGCCCAGGGAGGAAAAUUUGAGGGAAGCCCUGCCGGGGGCCGGGAUGAAUUGCCUUUUGGGUUGUAAACUGGUUUUUUGCAAGAAAGAAACUUUAGUCGGUUUUCUAAGCUGACGGGUUUGCCAGGAUAAGCACCGGGCUAAUUCCGUGCCAGCAGCCGCGGUAAUCCGGAGGGUGCAAGCGUUAUCCGGAUUUUAUGGGGUUUAAAGGGUCCGCAGGCGGAACUUUUAGUUAGUGGUGAAAGCCUACAGCUUAACUGUAGAACUGCCAUUGAUACUGAAGUUCUUGAGUGUGGUUGAAGUGGGCGGAAUAUGUCAUGUAGCGGUGAAAUGCAUAGAUAUGACAUGGAACACCAAUUGCGAAAGCAGCUCACUAAACCAUUACUGACGCUCAUGGACGAAAGUGUGGGUAGCGAACAGGAUUAGAUACCCUGGUAGUCCACACCGUAAACUAUGAUCACUAGAUGUUGGCGAUAUAAUGUCAGUGUUAAAGAGAAAUCGUUAAGUGAUCCACCUGGGGAGUACGUUCGCAAGAAUGAAACUCAAAGGAAUUGACGGGGGCCCGCACAAGCGGUGGAGCAUGUGGUUUAAUUCGAUGAUACGCGAGGAACCUUACCAAGGCUUAAAUGUAAAACGACCGGUUGAGAAAUCAAUCUUUUUUCGAACGAUUUACAAGGUGCUGCAUGGUUGUCGUCAGCUCGUGCCGUGAGGUGUCGGGUUAAGUCCCAUAACGAGCGCAACCCCUAUUUUUAGUUACCAGCGAGUAAUGUCGGGAACUCUAAAGAAACUGCCCGUGCAAACGGAGAGGAAGGUGGGGAUGACGUCAAAUCAUCACGGCCCUUAUGUCUUGGGCUACACACGUGCUACAAUGGUUAUUACAAUGAGAUGCAAACUGGUGACAGUAAGCUAAUCUAUAAAAAUAACCUCAGUUCGGAUCGAAGUCUGCAACUCGACUCUGUGAAGUUGGAAUCGCUAGUAAUCGCACAUCAGCCAUGUGCUGUGUAAUUCCGCCCC